GGGUGAGUAAUGUCUGGGAAACUUGCCUGAGGGAGGGGGAGAACUACUGGAAACGGUAGCUAAUACCGCAUAACGUCGCAAGACCAAAGAGGGGGACCUUCGGGCCUCUUGCCAUCAGAUGUGCCCAGAUGGGAUUAGCUAGUAGGUGGGGUAAUGGCUCACCUAGGCGACGAUCCCUAGCUGGUCUGAGAGGAUGACCAGCCACACUGGAACUGAGACACGGUCCAGACUCCUACGGGAGGCAGCAGUGGGGAAUAUUGCACAAUGGGCGCAAGCCUGAUGCAGCCAUGCCGCGUGUGUGAAGAAGGCCUUCGGGUUGUAAAGCACUUUCAGCGAGGAGGAAGGUGGUGAACUUAAUACGUUCAUCAAUUGACGUUACUCGCAGAAGAAGCACCGGCUAACUCCGUGCCAGCAGCCGCGGUAAUACGGAGGGUGCAAGCGUUAAUCGGAAUUACUGGGCGUAAAGCGCACGCAGGCGGUUUGUUAAGUCAGAUGUGAAAUCCCCGGGCUCAACCUGGGAACUGCAUUUGAAACUGGCAAGCUAGAGUCUCGUAGAGGGGGGUAGAAUUCCAGGUGUAGCGGUGAAAUGCGUAGAGAUCUGGAGGAAUACCGGUGGCGAA
rnacentral:rRNA from 1 species